UUUGUUUGAUCUUGCAUUUUGGCUUCUUCUUUUUAAGGUUCCAUUGCGACUCUUCUCAAACUACCAUGUUUUUUGUUGGAUUGAAUGAUUAAUUUUCUUGUUUGUUGCAUGAGCAGUCUUUCUAUUUCAUAUCUUUUUAUUUGUUGACUUUAACAUCUUCAGAAACCAUCAGAUUUAUAUUAACUUUAUUAUUUCUCGUUUUAGUAAAUCAUGU
rnacentral:lncRNA from 1 species